AAUGAAAUAUAGGUAAUCCCAUGUUAAUCUCGAAAAUAUGUAGGAUGUUAAAGUAAGAUAAAUCAUAACCGAAUCUUUUUUUUCCCCAAUAAAAAAGGAAUCUUACAUGCCAUUAAGAUUUAAUUAAUAUAAAUGGGAUUAUGGGACAAGAAAAAUGACAUACGAAUACGAUCACUAACUUUCUUUAUACAAAAUAACAGGUAGACAUUGCAUGUCUAACAACAACUUUCCCCUGUAUUAUAUUCUUGAUAAGAAUCUAUUGGGCAGCAACAAAAGAAAUGGAAGAUUACCAAAACCACCGCUAGGGAGAUCUAUAUUAAUUAUGAAUAAUUGCUAUGAAUGCCCUUUCAACACUACCCUUUUAUGUUGUCCAUUUUUAAUAAUAUACCUUCCCUUGAACAGAAUGACCAAAUUACCCUCAUAUAAUAGGAACAUGUAAUUGGAAACUGAAAUUUUCCCGCCAAAUUUUGGAUACCAAAAUUUAUUUUUCCCGCCAAAAAAAAAUUUCCGCCAAACAUUUUUCCGGUAAAUUUCCGACAAAUUUUUUGUAUUUCAAAAAGCUUAUUUUCUGCACUAUGUUUUUACUUUUUAGUUAAAAACAGAGAAUAAUAAAUAAUACUA
rnacentral:sRNA from 1 species